CAUCAGCCGGAGGGGGAGCAGGGGAUCCCGAGAGCGGAUGCAGGGCGACCUGGCGGGAGCAGCUUGAAGCAACCCAAGUGUCCAGUGUCCAUCAAUGGGUGAAUGGUUCGUCAAACUAUGGUCCAUCCAUACCAUGGAAUACUCCUCGGCAAGAAGAAGGAAUGAACUAUUAUUGAUUCCGGGGCUUCCCUGGUGGCGCAGUGGUUAACAAUCUGCCUGCCAAUGCAGUGCACACGGGUUCGAGCCCUGGUCCGGAAAGAUCCCACAUGCUGCGGAGCAACUAAGCCCGUGCGCCACAACUACUGAGCCUGCGCUCCAGAGCCCGCGAGCCACAACUGCUGAAGCCUGGGCGCCUAGAGCCCGUGCUCUGCAACAAGAGAAGCCACCGCAAUGAGAAGCCCACUCACCACAACUAGAGAAAGCCCGCACACAGCAACAAAGACCCAACGCAGCCAAAAAUAAAUAAAUAAAAUUAAAUUUAAAAAAACCAAAAAAUAGAUUCCGUGGGAAUCCCCUGGCGGUCCAGUGGUGAGGACUCU